rnacentral:rRNA from 1 species
UACGUAGGGUGCAAGCGUUAUCCGGAUUUAUUGGGUUUAAAGGGUGCGUAGGCGGUUUUUUAAGUUAGUGGUUAAACGUCGGGGCUUCACCUUGAUUUGCCAUUAAUACUGUAAGACUCGAGUUCAAACGAGGUAGGCGGAAUAAGUUAAGUAGCGGUGAAAUGCUUAGAUAUAACUUAGAACUCCGAUUGCGAAGGCAGCGUACCGGCGCCCAACUGACGCUGAAGCACGAAGGCGUGGGUAUCGAACAGG